AGCCCAUGAUGCGGGCAAAUCCUCAACAUGUCCUUAUAUCUCUCUCAUGCUUCAAAAAGUGAUUCGUUGUAUUUUUUCCUAAAUUCUUUAAUUUGGCUCCUUAGCAU